rnacentral:rRNA from 1 species
UACCAGCACCCCGAGUGGUCGGGACGUUUAUUGGGCCUAAAGCAUCCGUAGCCGGUUCUACAAGUCUUCCGUUAAAUCCACCUGCUUAACAGAUGGGCUGCGGAAGAUACUAUAGAGCUAGGAGGCGGGAGAGGCAAGCGGUACUCGAUGGGUAGGGGUAAAAUCCGUUGAUCCAUUGAAGACCACCAGUGGCGAAGGCGGCUUGCCAGAACGCGCUCGACGGUGAGGGAUGAAAGCUGGGGGAGCAAACCGGAUUAGAAACCCCCGUAGUCC